GCCGCGGCCGCCUCCGCGUGGCUCCUCUUCGCGGGUUUUUCUCGGGGCAGGCGCGGUCCCUGCUUCCCCGUCACAUCCUCUUCAAAGGCCACCGGCGGCGCUGGGCAGCAUCCCUCUCUCCGCGCCAACAGUAACUCCGAUCUGGUGCGAUGGGCUUCCUCAUCAUCUUCCUGGUUGUCAUCUGGUGCCAUGGACGGGACAGAACCGGAUGGGGUGGCGUUGGUGGCGGGAGGGAGGAGGCACUGCAAGAAUCCAUCACGGAGGACCAGGAUGUGGUUCUUCAAGGCCGCAACCAUUUAGGAGACAACCAGAGAAGGUAGAGAGACGGUGCUUCCAUUGUGUUUUCUGCUGGGCGUCUCCUCUGCCCCCGGUGGCAGCCGGGCAAGGCCCCCAUCACCGUACUGGGAGCUGCUGCUCCUCCUCCUGGUGCACACCGUUAUCCCCAUUGCUCUCCCCAUGUACAUAUUUUCUCUCUCUCCAUGUACACAAUGUUGUUGAUUGGUUUAGGCUCCUGGGCAAGCGUGAGUGAUGGCUGCGUGGAGGUACCUGCGGAUGUUUCCGUCGAUGGGGCUCGUCGUGCAUAGGUGGCGCCAGGUUUGACAUCCCAUGGCCAUGGCGUGCCCAACUCUUGCCUGUGAGUAGCAACCUCGUGGCCUUCUAAAUGUUUUGCACUUAGUUAAAUUUUAUCACAAACAAGAUAAGCGUGCUUUCCUUCAUUUAGAUUAGUAAAACCUGAAGCACGAUAAGUGUGAUCCACCUUAGUUUCAACACCACAAUUAUAAAGUAGUUUGGUUGAAAGUUUAAAUUAUACCAAUGUGUUGUUUUCUGCCAAAGUCAGAGCUAUUGUAUGCUUGGAUGUCUUUCAAUCUUCAACACAUGUCAAAUUUAGCACAUGUGAAUGAUUUUCAUGGCUUCAGUCAGUUUUGCAGUAUGAAAGUCACUACUUCAUGUAUACGAGUUUUGGCUUAUUGCGUUUGUAUUUAAUUAACACAUAGUGCUUAGGAGGCUCACUGAAUUAAAAAGGAGUCCUAUGUAGUUUUCAACUUAUAAAUCUAUGUACUGAGUUCCUUUAUGCAUUGCAGGGGAAAACAACAUCUGUUUUUUCUGAAUUUUGGUUUUUGGGUUAUGUUGCUAAGGUUGGAAAAUAGCAAUAUCGAUGAAACAAUACAUGUUAUUUCGAUUGCUAUCUUGGAUCCGAUUUGAAUGUGGUGCAUAGAUACCUUUUGGAAUGAAAAUGUUAGGUUUAAGGCAAGGUUUCCAAUUUUCCAUUAAUUUCAGUACAAGGCUGUAGCCUUUUGGAACAAAAAAACCUUGAUGCGGACAGAUUUUCUCGUGUACUAAAUAUGUCUUUUAGUUCAAUGUUAUGAUAUGGAAUACAAAAAAACACUGUCUAUGGUAGUAGUCUAGCAGAUGGGGAGUUCUGAGAGACAUCAGCCUGACAAGCAGGUUUGGCAAGGAUGGGUCCAAUUCCUGGUUCAGGUUUGCUAAUCCAAAUUCUCCCGCUGCUUGUUUAGCUGUACACGCCUUUUUCAAAUCUGUUGUUUCUUUUGGAUUUGUUAUGCAUUACGUGAUAUCGAUACUAGAUUAUAUAACUUCAUGUGUGCGCACUUCCUGUUAUUAAUUCUGGCUAGCGAUUGAGUAAUAUGCAGGCUGGUGGAUCAUUCUGGCAUUGUCAUGAUCGGAAGUAUUUUCCCAUUUCUAAUUACUACUUUUUUUCUGCGCGCUUGCCUUUUCCGCUCUUUGGAUUCAAUGUGUCUACUGUCCUUGUUUUCCUUAUUGUUGCUGGAUGCCUUGCUCUCUGUUCGUCUUACUGGUACUUUGUUUUUGUCUCUAUUCUUUUUGGCUGACCAUCAAGUACUGUUUCACUGGUUAGCUGGAACUGUGUCGUCUGGGCCGUGCAGGGGUGGUGCCCGCGCCGCCUCGUACUGCCGCCUGCUGGUAGGGACUGCCUCGCUGGCGAAGACGGGGCCGAGCGGUGCCAUUGUUGCCUUGACCGGUCCGACUAGGAAGGUCACAUAUGCCCUAUGGUUGUGGGAGCUGAAGCAGGGACUUGACGAGGGCUGCCUCGACAGGACACUGUGAGCUCGGGUCCGUCCGUACCGCCGUACCGGCGACCCCUCCUUCAAGGGUGAUUUCUUGACGUUCCUUCUCCCGUGGCCCUCCUAUUGUUAUUUUUUUUACCUCCUGUGUAUGCAUAUGAAGCAGUGGUGUCACUCAGUUUCCGUUGCGUGAUUAUGCAUGGAUGUAAUAACUUGCUGCGAUUUGUAACUGAAAUCUUAUUUCAUAUAGUAGUUUAGUAUGAAAUUUGUUA